rnacentral:rRNA from 1 species
CACGUAGGGCGCAAGCGUUGUUCGAAAUUACUGGGCGUAAAGCGCACGUAGGCGGAUCCUUAAGUCAGGGGUGAAAUCCCGAGGCUCAACCUCGGAACUGCCUUUGAUACUGGGGAUAUCGAGUCCGGGAGAGGUGAGUGGAACUGCGAGUGUAGAGGUGAAAUUCGUAGAUAUUCGCAAGAACACCAGUGGCGAAGGCGGCUCACUGGCCCGGUACUGACGCUGAGGUGCGAAAGCGUGGGGAGCAAACAGG